rnacentral:rRNA from 1 species
GUCCACGCCCUAAACGGUGGGCAUUAGGUGUAGGGCUCGUAAGGGUUCUGUGCCGAAGGGAAACCAUUAAAUGCCCCGCCUGGGGAGUACGGCCGCAAGGUUGAAACUCAAAGGAAUUGACGGGGCCCGCACAAGCGGUGGAGCAUGUGGUUUAAUUCGACGCUACGCGAAGAACCUUACCUGGGCUUGACAUGUAAGUGGUAAGAACCCGAAAGGGCGAUGACGUGGGGGUAACCCCGAUGAGCUUACACAGGUGCUGCAUGGCUGUCGU